UUUCUUUUGGUGAACCUGCGGAGGGAUCAUUA
rnacentral:rRNA from 1 species